rnacentral:lncRNA from 1 species
GAGCGAGGAAACAGGGCCAGAGAAUUGGAACAAAAUACAAGGCUGCCUCUGAAAGGAAUAUCUUUGUGCUGAUGUGUCCAUCAAGAGAACAUACACAGAAGUGACACUUGCCAGUAAUUUGCAAGCAGAUGGAACUUCAAUAUGGCAAUAGAGAAAGAAUCAAUUAGACCAGAGUCUCCUCAGGAAGACUUUCUAUAGGUGGACGGUCCCCUGGAGAGCCCGCUGUGUUGGAAGAUGUAGAAUAUUCAUAUAUCUGGUGAGCAUCUGCUAGAUGCCAGGGUUGGGGAGAGUCAAGUUGAAGCAAGCAUGAACCCUCAAGGACCUACCAUUUCAAGGCAAGAAAUAGAUACAAAUACAGCGUAAUUAUCUCUCCAAUUAAAGAGCAACCAAGGGACAACUGAACUGGAGGUUCUGCAGAAUUACAACUAAGCACGCAGCCGAGGAAUCUACUCAGCUUUGAUCUCUUAUCGCUCUGCACACACAGCCCUUUCUCUGUAAGGCUAGCUGCUCUCAGCAUCACUGUGUCUAAUCAAACGUGUCACACCUCCACUGAGAAAAUAUUUACUGGAUAGCUACUAGACAUAAGGAUGCAGAAAUGAAUUAGAAAAAUUCCUCGCCCUUGUUCAAAGCUAUGCUGGCUCUUAGAACAUCUGAGCCCCCACUGUUUCAUCUUUAGAGGAUCCCAGCUGCUGGGGUGUGAGGCCAGUGCUGGAGCCAGCAGUCUCUGACCCAGAAGGGACCUGAGGUGCUAAAGAAAAGUCAUAAGACCCUAAUUCCAGAGGGCCCUACCCUAUAACCAGAAGGAAGAACUAUUGCACAGAGAAUCUAAGAAGAAUCUAGACAGACAGCCCUUGCUGGAUUUCUCCACUCUGUUAGCAUUCGAUCAUUUGCCUUUUGUCCAGUCAUAUUUCUGCAUGGCUGUCCAUACUUUGUUGAACCUAAGCACAAAAUGGAAAGUUUUCCCUGUAUCUUUGGGUCGUCAUUCUGAAGGCUCCCAUGUUAUGUAAAACUAUGAUCAAAUAAAUAUGCAUGCCUUUUCUCCUAUAA